AGCGGAGGAAAAGAAACUAACAAGGAUUCCCCUAGUAACGGCGAGUGAAGCGGGAAGAGCUCAAAUUUGAAAUCUGGCAGUCUUCGAUUGUCCGAGUUGUAAUCUAUAGAGGCGUUUUCCGUGCCGGACCGUGUCCAAGUCUCCUGGAAAGGAGUAUCAAAGAGGGUGAUAAUCCCGUACUUAACACGACCACCGGUGCUCUGUGAUACGUCUUCUACGAGUCGAGUUGUUUGGGAAUGCAGCUCAAAAUGGGUGGUGAAUUCCAUCUAAAGCUAAAUAUUGGCGAGAGACCGAUAGCGAACAAGUACCGUGAGGGAAAGAUGAAAAGCACUUUGGAAAGAGAGUUAAACAGUACGUGAAAUUGUUGAAAGGGAAACGAUUGAAGUCAGUCGUGUUCUUUGGAUUCAGCCAGUUCUGCUGGUCUACUUCCUUGGAACGGGUCAACAUCAGUUUUGUCCGGUGGAUAAAGGUAGUAGGAAUGUGACUUCUCCGGAAGUGUUAUAGCCUAUUAUCACAUACACUGGGUGAGACUGAGGACUGCAGCUCGCCUUUAUGGCCGGCCUUCGGGCACGUUCGAGCUUAGGAUGUUGACAUAAUGGCUUUAAACGACCCGUCU
rnacentral:rRNA from 1 species